rnacentral:rRNA from 1 species
AAAUUUAAGAGUUUGAUCAUGGCUCAGAUUGAACGCUGGCGGCAGGCCUAACACAUGCAAGUCGAACGGUAACAGGAAGAAGCUUGCUUCUU